rnacentral:rRNA from 1 species
UACGGAGGGUGCAAGCAUUGAUCGGAAUUACUGGGCGUAAAGGGUGCGUAGGCGGCCUGAUAAGUCAGAUGUGAAAUUCCACGGCUCAACCGUGGAGCUGCAUUUGAAACUGUCAAGCUCGAGCGUAAUUAGGGAAAACGGAAUUCCACAUGUAGCGGUGAAAUGCGUAGAUAUGUGGAGGAACACCGGUGGUGAAGACGGUUUUCUGGGUUAUAGCUGACGCUGAGGCACGAAAGCUAGGGGAGCAAAC